GAUGAACGCUGGCGGCGUGCCUAAUACAUGCAAGUCGAGCGAACGGACGAGAAGCUUGCUUCUCUGAUGUUAGCGGCGGACGGGUGAGUAACACGUGGAUAACCUACCUAUAAGACUGGGAUAGCUUCGGGAAACCGGAGCUAAUACCGGAUAAUAUUUUGAACCGCAUGGUUCAAAAGUGAAAGACGGUCUUGCUGUCACUUAUAGAUGGAUCCGCGCUGCAUUAGCUAGUUGGUAAGGUAACGGCUUACCGAGGCAACGAUGCAUAGCCGACCUGAGAGGGUGAUCGGCCACACUGGAACUGAGACACGGUCCAGACUCCUACGGGAGGCAGCAGUAGGGAAUCUUCCGCAAUGGGCGAAAGCCUGACGGAGCAACGCCGCGUGAGUGAUGAAGGUCUUCGGAUCGUAAAACUCUGUUAUUAGGGAAGAACAUAUGUGUAAGUAACUGUGCACAUCUUGACGGUACCUAAUCAGAAAGCCACGGCUAACUACGUG
rnacentral:rRNA from 1 species